UUUCCGGUUGAUCCCGCCGGACCUGACUGCUAUCGGAUUGAUACUAAGCCAUGCGAGUCUUUGUAGUAAUACAAGGCAUACGGCUCAGUAACGCGUAGUCAACCUACCCUAUGGACAAGAAUAAUCUCGGGAAACUGAGCAUAAUUCUUGAUAGAUCAUAAUGCCUGGAAUGGUUUAUGGUUAAAAUGAUUCGUCGCCAUAGGAUGGGACUGCGGCCUAUCAGCUUGUUGGUGAGGUAAUGGCCCACCAAGGCGAUUACAGGUACGGGCUCUGAGAGGAGAAGCCCGGAGAUGGGUACUGAGACAAGGACCCAGGCCCUAUGGGGCGCAGCAGGCGAGAAAACUUUGCAAUGUGCGAAAGCACGACAAGGUUAGUCCGAGUGAUUUCUGCUAAAGAGAUCUUUUGCUAGUUAUAAAACCACUAGUGAAUAAGGGGUGGGCAAGUUCUGGUGUCAGCCGCCGCGGUAAAACCAGCACCUCAAGUGGUCAGGAUGAUUAUUGGGCCUAAAGCAUCCGUAGCCGGCUCUGUAAGUUUUCGGUUAAAUCUAUGCGCUCAACGUAUGGGCUGCCGAAAAUACUGCAGAGAUAGGGAGUGGGAGAGGUAGACGGUACUCGGUAGGAAGGGGUAAAAUCCUUUGAUCUAUCGAUGACCACCUGUGGCGAAGGCGGUCUACCAGAACACGUUCGACGGUGAGGGAUGAAAGCUGGGGGAGCAAACCGGAUUAGAUACCCGGGUAGUCCCAGCUGUAAACGAUGCAGACUCGAUGAUGCAUUGGCAUAUAGCCAGUGCAGUGUCGCAGGGAAGCCGUUAAGUCUGCCGCCUGGGAAGUACGUACGCAAGUAUGAAACUUAAAGGAAUUGGCGGGGGAGCACCACAAGGGGUGAAGCCUGCGGUUCAAUUGGAGUCAACGCCGGAA
rnacentral:rRNA from 1 species